GAAAAUGCCACCAUAUGAAGCGAUAAAAAGAAAAAAGAAAAAAAUCAGUUCGAAAGUGGCCUGAGGUGGAGGUAGAGAAAUGAGCCGCAGACAAGCCUGCCUGAUUGAAUAGAUAUCCUGUCCUUUCAAGGAACAGCAGAUUCAGAGAGCAACAUAAAAUGGACUAAGACGUGUAUGGAAACUUGAAAUACAAGAAGAGAAUAUGAAGAAGUAAGACUAGAAAAGAAAUGAGCCUUCAUUAUCAGAGAUAAGCAACAGCAAAGAGCUAAAGGUACCUGGAUGCGGUAUAAUCUUCGAAGUUUAAAGGCAAAUAGUCAUAAGUAUUGAGCAAAAAGAAGUCUGGAAAUACACAUAUAGUAACCUAAUUAAAGAGGCAUAAAUGCCUGAAAAAGUAUUAUGAUAUGUUAUGAAUGUCCAAUUAUUUGUAGAACUCAUCGCCUGUUGGGGUGACCACAAGGACUUUGUUGACAAUGGAUAUGACUUUGUUCUGAGAGUGCCUUUGUUUAGAAUGUAAGUUAUUGGUGCUCUAGGUAUCUUUGCUUCUGCCACAUAGAUUGUACUAAUGGCUCCUGGAAAUGGGGCUGGUAGAUAAAUACAGCUUCCUAGUAUUGAGGAGUGUGAGCUAUUGAGUGGGAGAACAAUAGGAACUGCUAAAAUGUGGGGUAAAAUUAACUGCCAGGUAUUGUGUACAAAAGCCACAAUCCCCAGUAAAUUUGUAAGUAAAAAGUCUUCCUAAGAGUAUCUCCAGAAGAGAAAGAACAACAUUUUGUCAUGGCUUGGGGAGCUUUCAACAUUUACACAGGAAAAAUAAACACCAGCCAAAUAAUGAAGAACAGACCUUAAAUUGCGUAGGUGUCAGAAACUGGGACAAUAUUUAUAACCUGAGAAUUUGAAACCCAAAAAGAAUGAAGCAGAUUGACCUCCUGUGAAGAGAGCAGAUUGAAGAUACAGCUACCUGAACCCAUACACCAGGGCUUCCCUCACACUCUAAGCAUAUUGAGCCUGAAGCCCUAAACACCAGUGCCAUAUU
rnacentral:lncRNA from 1 species